rnacentral:rRNA from 1 species
CCAGACUCCUGGAGGCAGCAGUGGGGAAUAUUGCACAAUGGGGGAAACCCUGAUGCAGCGACGCCGCGUGAGUGAAGAAGUAUUUCGGUAUGUAAAGCUCUAUCAGCAGGGAAGAAAAUGACGGUACCUGACUAAGAAGCCCCGGCUAACUACGUGCCAGCAGCCGCGGUAAUACGUAGGGGGCAAGCGUUAUCCGGAUUUACUGGGUGUAAAGGGAGCGUAGACGGCAGCACAAGUCUGGAGUGAAAUCCCGGGGCUUAACCCCGGAACUGCUUUGGAAACUGUGCGGCUGGAGUGCAGGAGGGGUAAGCGGAAUUCCUAGUGUAGCGGUGAAAUGCGUAGAUAUUAGGAGGAACACCGGUGGCGAAGGCGGCUUACUGGACUGUAACUGACGUUGAGGCUCGAAAGCGUGGGGAGCAAACAGGAUUAGAUACCCCUGUAAGA